rnacentral:rRNA from 1 species
CGCCGCCCCCGCCCGACGGGGUGCAGCAGGCGCGAAACCUUUACACUGCACGCCAGUGCGAUAAGGGGACCCCGAGUGCGAGGGCAUACAGUCCUCGCUUUUCGUGACCGUAAGAAGGUCUCAGAAUAAGAGCUGGGCAAGACCGGUGCCAGCCGCCGCGGUAAUACCGGCAGCUCGAGUGAUAGCCACUAUUAUUGGGCCUAAAGCGUCCGUAGCCGGCCGAACAGGUCCGUCGGGAAAUCCACCCGCUCAACGGGUGGACGUCCGGCGGAAACCAGUCGGCUUGGGGCCGGGAGACCAGAGAGGUACGUCCGGGGUAGGAGUGAAAUCCUGUAAUCCUGGACGGACCGCCGGUAGCGAAAGCGUCUCUGGAGAACGGACCCGACGGUGAGGGACGAAAGCNNNGGUCUCGAACCGGAUUAGAUACCCGGGUAGUCCAAGCUGUAAACGAUGCUCGCUAGGUGUGGCNUCGGCUACGAGCNGNU